CUCAGUUUAUUAAUCAAGAACACAAACGUAGUACUAACCACCUCUCGAUGCAUUAAUACCAUAUUAACGUCAAUCCACAAUUAAGAUAGAAAUCCGUUAAACACCUUAAUCAACUAAUGCACUAUAUCUCUAUGUGAAUUACAAUUGAAGAAGGUUGAAGAACAAGUUCUCUUAUCCGAUUACAUGCGGUGUUAAGUAUAUCUCUAUCUUCACACGAAUCAGGUUUAAGCUACUAACAAAAUCCUGAACACAUGCUAUAUCAACUAGGUCUAGAAUUGAAUAUCCUCUCUCGAUUCCAUCCAACCCCACGAAGAAUUAUUGGCCAGACAAUUCAUAGAUUCAAGCAUAAAUCAAUAUAGAUAAACUGAAGAUAAUUUAUUAAAUUGGGAAUCAAAGAUUACAAAACUAUCGAUUCACUUAAGGAUCCAUCACAAGCCUAAAAAGUGAAUUAGUUCAUAAUAAAUGAAAUAAGCACUGAAUACAUCAUAGAAAUCAUUCUUCAAUCACAAAUAAUAAUCUAACACAAAGAAUAUUAGAAAACACCCUUUACGUAGACUACAAAUGUAACCGUCUUGAAAAACUCUUUGAAAUACUCCUCCAUUUUUGCUCUCCAAUAAGAUGACUUUGAUCUUUAUAAGCUUCUUAAUUUCCCUUAUUGUGUUUCUAAAGAGUAAUAUAUAUCAAGUCUAAUACUCCAGCUACAUCCCCUAACAAAUAGAGUUAUAAACUCAUUAAAACAACUGAAAUUCGAGUCCAAUAGGAAGUUUAAAUGCAACAGGACAGUCCCAGUUUUCACAACCCCCGCCCCGGCGGGGGUGUAUGUAUGCAAAACGCCUGCCCCGGCGGGCGUAAGUUCUGUCUUGGUUGAGAGCUGACCCCCCGCCCUGGCGGGGGUGUGUAAGUAAAAAACGCCCGCCCUGGCGAGCUCCUGCUCUGCUAGUUGACUGGGUAGACCCCCACCCCAGCGGGGGUGUUUGGCCUGUACAUGCCCUCCUCGGCGGGAAUUCCUCCUGUUAUCUGACUUGCUUGCUGCAACACUGAGUUAUUUCUAUGGCUCCAACUUAACUGCAAAUGCACCAAAUAUCACGAACAAUCCAGGAAUCACCGCAACCACCAACCUACACAUAAAAUAACAAAAACCAAGUAAAAAUGCACUUGUUUACAAAAACAUAGCAAAGAAUACGCAUGAUUUAGACAUGAAAUUGCGUAUAUAAAAUACACUUAUCAGAGCUACCUCCUAUCCAACACCCUUAGUAUCAGCAUAUCAGGGAGUAUUUGCGAGAUGGAUCUACACCCGCUGAGGCGAGCCCGACUGAAAGAAGGCGGAUCCAUCGACUGACUAUGAAAUUUUACCUGAGCGGAGAUGCACUCUACAAAAGAGAUGCAAGACUAGGGCUCCUCAGAUGUCUGGACAAAGACCAAUCUCAAAGGCUUAUAGAUGAAAUCCAUGGUGGAGUAUGUGGCCUACAUAUAAGUGGCCUUCUACUUGUCAAAAAAAUCCUCAGAACAGGGCACUACUGGCUCUCUCUCAAGGCUGACUAUGAGGAUCACGUCAGAGGUGCUACCAAUGCCAAAUUCAUGGGAAUUCUAUCCAUGCCCCUCUGAGGGAGCUCCAUAAUAUGAUUUCACCUUGGCCCUUCUCAAUGUGAGGAAUGGACGUUAUCGGGCCCAUCGAGCCCAAAGACAGUAAUGGGCAUCGAUUUAUCUUCACCAAGUGGGUAGAAGCAGCCUCCUUCGCUAGGGUUACCAAAGAAGUUAUCAUUGGUUUCAUUAGAAACAAUGUCAUUUAUCGAUAUGGACAACCAGAGGUGAUUGUGUCAGACAAUGCUAAGAACCUUAACAACAAAAUGAUGGAGGAGUUAUGCAGUCAAUUCCACAUCAAACACCUUAACUCCAUCAUCUACCAUCCAAAGAUUAAUGGUGCUGUUGAAGCGGCUAAUAAAAACAUCAAGAAGAUCAUGAAAAAAUGUCUGCCAAUCAUAAAGGAUGGCCUGACCUUUUGCUUCUAACUCUAUUAGCCUAUAGAACUUCAAUACGUACUUCCACUGGGGCAACCCCCUACUGAUUAACCUAUGGGAUGGAAGCAGUACUUUCCAUAGAGGUGGAAAUGGAAUCCCUCAGAGUGUUGAUAGACGCUCAGCUGGAUGAAGACCAAUGGUUACAAGAUAGGUAUCACCAAUUGUCUCUAAAAGACGAAAGACGAAGUGAUGCUAUCUUCCAUGGUCAGUUAUACCAAUAAAGGAUCGCCAGAUCCUAUAACAGGAAAGUCCAACUACGGCAGUUUAAACAACAUGACUUGGUUUUGAAGAAGAUCAUUGACAACCAAGACCAGUCUAAGGGAAAAUUUGCUCCAAACUGGGAAGGCCCAUUUAUUGUCAAGAAGGUAUUAACAGGAGGUGCUCUUAGAUUACAGGAAAUGGAUGGCGAUGAAUUUCCACAGCUUAUCAACUCAGACACCAUGAAACGGUACUAUGUCUAAAGUUACCAUCAAGCAAACUUCCUGGUUUUGGAUCACCAGAUCCCCAAUCACUUCAGGUUUUCUAACCCUUUCUACAUACAACCUUUCUUCAUACCCUUCUGCCCCAUCAGGGAUAAACACACUCUUUAAACCAGCAGCCUGGUUUUCGGAUCAUCAAAUCUUUCACUCCACUUCAUUUCAAACCUUUCAGGUUAUCUCACCAGGGAUUGAACCUUUCACACCUGCAGUUUUGUCCCACUAAGGAUAGAACUUUUCACACCCGCAGUUUUGUCUCGCUAGGGAUAAGACUUUUCACACCUACAAUUUGUCUUGUACAUGGGAUCAAACUUUUCCCUCUGCAGUUUGUCCUGAAUAUGGGAUCAAAAUUUUUGGUUGUAAUUCGUCCUAAACAUGGGGCGAACUAUGUUGACCUGAUCUCCCCGAUACCUGGAAGUACGCAGGCAACCAUUUUUUUAAAAUGGCCCGGUCGCAAUAAAAAAUAAAAACAAAAAAAACAAAAAAUGAAAAUACUCUUCUACAUCUUUCUACACCCUUUCACAUACAGCAUUGAACCUCUUGCACCAGGUUUGAACUAUGCAGACUUGAUCUCCUCUUCAAUAGGAGUACGUAGGUAGCCAUUUAUGGUUUAGUCUCACUCCCUACCAAAACACAAACACUUGUCAACGGUACUGAGAUCACCCUUCAAUCCACCGCAUUUCAUCGGCUUCAGACCAAAGGGAUGGAACUACCUGACCUCCCCAUAAAUGGGAGAGUUGGCGACCAUCUAAGCUACGGUUGAAUCCUCAAAGAGAAACACCAAUCCAUAAGAGAUGGAACUAACCGAGCUCCCCCAUACAAAGGAGUACCGGCGACCAUCUGUGGGGCGGUCAACCUAAGAGAGGAAAGCUACACUCCUCUUCACAUCUACAUACAGAAACUAGUCCCAAGACACCAAAGAAGAUAGAGGAUACACACAGAUCAAUGAUCCAUUAUGAAAAUCCUGAGACAUCUCAAUGUCCACCCAUUAAGGAUAAGUUCAGAAUAUAUCCAGAUCACAUGCCCUGAAAAAACAGGCAAAUAUCAAGCAAGUAGUAAGGCACAACUAAAAGGGAAGUAAAUCAAAAUAUAUUUCCCUAGCAUAUAUAAUGUUGUUUGAUAUAUACAAUAUGUAUUGUACAUGACAAAAUGGCUAAGCUAGUUUGUGCAGGAAAAUAUAAGCUCAUCUACAAUCCAGUGGAUAUACGAGCUAUCAAGUCCAACAUGGCAUCUCUCUCCGAAGAAGGAGGUAAAGCUGUAAGCUCCUACCCAAGGGUAUCUACACGAGCCAACAGAUCCACGGCCAACUGCAUGGUGGCACUAUGCUCAUCAAUAUAUGCGCUCAUCUCUGCAACGAUGCCAGUGGUAAGGGAUCUCACUGUAGUACUAUCUAUAACGGCUACGUCCUGCGCAGAUAUGGCACCAUCCCGCUCAAUAAUCAGUGCAUCUCUGGAUGAUCUAGCCUCAUCCCGCUCAGUAAUAGCGGUGUCCCUAUGAACUAAAGCACCAUCUCUCCCGUCAAGAGCUUUCAACAUCAAGGCCCUAGCCUGAUCUCUCUAAAAUGUUAUCAGAUGCAAACCCUGGGCUAAAUACUCCGAAGGAGGAGUCACACCUGCAGAAAUACUAGGUGAAUCGACAGGAGCUGCUGCCAACCCAGUAAAAAGCUCCUCCUCGACGGGAAAAUCAAUGUCCUCCAAGGACUCCUCACCCUCUGAAUCAAUCCCCGACACUGUGAAUACAACCUCGACAGGCCACAGAUGAUUAUACCAAAUAAUCCCUGGUCAUAAUCAUACCAAGUCCACCUAUGCACUAUAGGCCACAGAUGACUUUCAACAAAAUAUAAACAUGAGGAUGAUGACAAUGAUAUAAGAAUUCAACUAACGCACUAUAUCUCUAUGUGAAUUACAAUUGAAGAAGGUUGAAGAACAAGUUCUCUUAUCCGAUUACAUGUGGUGUUAAGUAUAUCUCUAUCUUCACACGAAUCAGGUUUAAGCUACUAACAAAAUCCUG
rnacentral:lncRNA from 1 species